CAAUCGACGACAUAGUGGCGAACGGGUGAGUAAUGAUUCACUAACCUACCUCAACUCGAGAUAGCAGGGAGAAAUUCCUGGUAAUACUCGAUGUUUCUCAGAGUCCGCAUGGUCUCUGAUACAAAGCUCCGGCGGCUUGAGAUGGGGUGAAUUGGUAUCAGCUAGUUGGUGAGGUAACGGCUCACCAAGGCUUCGACGCCUAACCGGACUGAGAGGUCGGCCGGUCACAUCGGGACUGAGACACUGCCCGGACUCCUACGGGAGGCUGCAGUAACGAAUCUUCCGCAAUGCACGAAAGUGUGACGGAGCGACGCCGCGUGCGGGACGAAGCCCUUCGGGGUGUAAACCGCUAAAACCAUCAGGAAAGUUCUGAUCCGGUGGUGAUAAGGAGCGACUAACUCUGUGCCAGCAGUCGCGGUAACACAGAGGCUCCAAGCGUUAGGCGGAAUCACUGGGCUUAAAGCGUGCGU
rnacentral:rRNA from 1 species